CGUGCAGGUGGUUUGGUAAGUUGGGUAUGAAAUCUCCUGGCUUAACUGGGAGAGGUUGCUCAAAACUACCAGACUAGAGGACGGUAGAGGAAGGUGGAAUUCCCGGUGUAGUAGUGAAAUGCGUAGAUAUCGGGAGGAACACCAGUGGCGAAGGCGGCCUUCUGGGCCGUUCCUGACACUAAGACGCGAAAGCAUGGGUAGCAAACG
rnacentral:rRNA from 1 species